AUGGGGCUGAGGGUCACUCAGUACUACAUCUUUGUUAUAAUGUUAACCAAAGGUGUCAGCAGUGAUGAGAUCAGACUGGACCAGUCUCCUGCUGUGGUAAAGAGACCUGGAGAAACUGUGAAGAUCUCCUGUAAGAUACACGGCUUUGAUAUGACUGAGUACCUCAUGCACUGGAUCAGACAGAAACCAGGGAAAGCUCUGGAAUGGCUUGGAUAUGUGAACUCUGGUACAACAGAUGAACCCACAUACGCAGACUCAGUGAAAGGGUAUUUUCUCCUCUCUGAAGACGUCUCAGCAAGCACACAGUACUUAGAGGCCAAGACCCUGAGGACAGAGGACCCUGCGGUUUAUUACUGCGCCCGAGACCCCACAGUGACUGGAGCUGAAAGCAGCUGUACAAAAACCAGACACACAUUGAAACUGAACUAA